GCCAGCAGCCAUAUCACCCUUCAGCUCACAACUGGCAACACACUAAAGCUAAGCAGGUGUGAGAAUGGACAGUACCUGGACAGGAGACUUCCUGGGAAAAACAUCUGUUGCCGAAA
rnacentral:rRNA from 1 species